GACCUGUUGGUGCAGAUGGAAGUGCAUCCGCCAUAACUUGAAGGCUUGUCCAGAAGAAUUAUGUGGAAGGCCCUAGUUCGACUCCGGGAUGGGCCA